rnacentral:rRNA from 1 species
GACGAACGCUGGCGGCGUGCCUAACACAUGCAAGUCGAACGGGGUUGCUCUUCGGAGUAACUUAGUGGCGAACGGGUGAGUAACGCGUGAGAAACCUGCCUCUCAGUGGGGGACAACAGUUGGAAACGACUGCUAAUACCGCAUAACACUUUAGUACCGCAUGGUACAGAAGUCAAAGCAUUAUGUGCUGAGAGAUGGUCUCGCGUCUGAUUAGCUAGUUGGCGGGGUAACGGCCCACCAAGGCGACGAUCAGUAGCCGGUCUGAGAGGAUGAACGGCCACAUUGGGACUGAGAUACGGCCCAGACUCCUACGGGAGGCAGCAGUGGGGAAUAUUGGGCAAUGGGGGAAACCCUGACCCAGCAACGCCGCGUGAAGGAAGAAGGCCUUCGGGUUGUAAACUUCUUUUACCAGGGACGAAGAACGUGACGGUACCUGGAGAAAAAGCCACGGCUAACUACGUGCCAGCCGCCGCCGUAACAC